GUGCCAGCAGCCGCGGUAAUACGUAGGGUCCAAGCGUUAAUCGGAAUUACUGGGCGUAAAGCGUGCGUAGGCGGUCUCGCAAGUCCGAUGUGAAAUCCCCGGGCUUAACCUGGGAAUUGCGUUGGAAACUAUGAGACUAGAGUGUGGCAGAGGGGGGUGGAAUUCCAGGUGUAGCAGUGAAAUGCGUAGAUAUCUGGAGGAACACCGAUGGCGAAGGCAGCCCCCUGGGCCAGCACUGACGCUCAUACACGAAAGCGUGGGGAGCAAACAGGAUUAGAUACCCUGGUAGUCCUAGCCCUAAACCAUCAGGACUUGGCGUGGGCCCCGUCCGGGGUUCGUGUCGUAGCCAACGUGAUAAGUCCUGCGCCUGGGGAGUACGGUCGCAAGGCUGAAACUCAAAUGAAUUGACGG
rnacentral:rRNA from 1 species